rnacentral:tRNA from 1 species
GUCCAGGUGGCCAAAUGGGAAGGCGUUGGUCUGCAAAACCGACUGUGCGAGUACCCUUCGGGAAGCCGCUUCGUGUCUACAAUUCUCGCCCUGGACUCCA